UUUUUGAAUUAAUAAUUUAAAGUCUAAUCUGCCCACUGAUAAAAAAAUUAAAGGGCUGCAGUAUUUUGACUGUACAAAGGUAGCAUAAUCAUUAGUCUCUUAAUUGGUGACUUGUAUGAAAGAUUUGAUGAAAUAUAUACUGUCUCUUUUUAAUUUAUAGAAUUUAAUUUUUUAGUUAAAAAGCUAAAAUAUAUUUAAAAGACGAGAAGACCCUAUAGAGUUUAAUAUUUAUUUAAUUUAUAUUAAAAUUUUUUAUAAAAUUUAUAAUUUUAAUAUAUGUAAAUAUUUUAUUGGGGUGAUAAAAAAAUUAAAAUAACUUUUUUUAUAAUUUUACAUUAAUAAAUGAGUAAAUGAUCCGUAAUUUACGAUUAAAAGAAAAAAUUACCUUAGGGAUAACAGCGUAAUUUUUUUUUUUAGUUCAAAUAAGAAAAAAAGUUUGCGACCUCGAUGUUGGAUUAAGAUAAAAUUUAAAUGCAAAAGUUUAAAAUUUUUGAUCUGUUCGAUCAUUAAAAUCUUACA
rnacentral:rRNA from 1 species